AACUUUCAACAACGGAUCUCUUGGCUCUGGCAUCGAUGAAGAACGCAGCGAAAUGCGAUACGUAAUGUGAAUUGCAGAAUUCCGCGAACCAUCGAAUCUUUGAACGCACAUUGCGCCCGCCAGUAUUCUGGCGGGCAUGCCUGUCCGAGCGUCA
rnacentral:rRNA from 1 species